rnacentral:sRNA from 1 species
CUGGGACUCUGCUGUGUGUUUGUUUGCAUGGUAUUUGAUUGUUGAGUGUCUCAGCGUUCUAGCUGGUGCGGGCUGUGUUGAGCCCACAUGAAAGCAAGAGCUACUAUAAUACCAGUGGUCCUCUCACACACUCCAAAGGGUAAAAGAAUUGAAUACAGAAUAACACAUAGUAAUUGACACGAAGCAAAAGGCAUAUGAAUUUUCCUGCUAUUACAAUUACGUGUUAGACAUGUACACACGGA